GCGUUAACGCGCGAUAAAAUAAUUGUCGGCGUUAAUUAAUGAAUGCGUUAACUUGCCCAGCACUAAUAUGAAUAUAUAGUAUUUAAUACCUGUCCAUGUGUUUGUUUUGAUUGGCUGUUCGUUGUCAUCAGAUGGUGAGUGUGUAUCAGGUGUAUCCACACUCCUGCUUCCUGUACCUGGGCAGCAUUCUGGUGGACGAGUAUGGCAUGGAGGAGGGUUGCAGGCAAGGACUGCUCGACAUGUUACAGGCUCUGUGUAUGCCGACUUUCCAGCUGUUGGAGCAGCAGAACGGUCUGAGGAAUCAUCCUGACACCGUGGACGACCUGUUCAGACUGGCCACCAGGUUUGUCCAAAGGAGUCCCGUCACUUUACUCAGCAGCAGCAUCAUCGUUCACAUCAUCCAGUGCGCCAUCGCUGCCACCUCAUUGGACCACCGAGACGCCAACUGCAGCGUCAUGAAGUUUGUCCGAGACCUCAUUCACACCGGAGUCGCCAACGACCACGAGGAAGACUUUGAGGUGAGGAAGCAGCUGAUUGGUCAAGCCAUGGAGCAGCACGGUCAGCAGCUCAUCACUCAGCUGAUGCACUCGUGUUGUUUCUGCCUGCCGCCGUACACGCUGCCGGACGUCGCCGAGGUGCUGUGGGAGGUCAUGGUGUUCGACAGACCUACGUUUUGUCGCUGGUUAGAGAAUGCUCUGAAAGGUUUACCAAAGGAGACGUCAGGAGGAGCCGUGACCGUCACUCACAAACAGCUGACUGAUUUCCACAAACAGGUCACCAGUGCUGAGGAGUGUAAACAGGUGUGUUGGGCCAUCAGAGAGUUCACCAGACUGUUCCGAUAGCUGCAACCUUCACACAACACCAGGUAACUACGACCACAAGUAACUACGACCACAAGUAACUACGACCACAAGUAACUACGACCACAAGUUAAAUCUUUUGUUGACCAACAUUCAGAGGUGACGGCAAAAAGCUGCGACUGCAGACAAGGAUCCAAAGGGACGGGAUGAAGAUGAUGAAGAAGAUGGAGGAGGGACUUUGAAUGUGAAACAGGACAAAUAACUCUGAAGGACUGACAGAGUGAGUUCUCCACCCCGACCCCCGAACUCACCUGACCACACCUGCAGCAGGUGUCAGGUGGGCGGGGUCGGGUCCAGCAGGUUUCAGGUGGGCGGGGUCAGGACUA